rnacentral:rRNA from 1 species
UACGAAGGGGGGCUAGCGUUGUUCGGAAUUACUGGGCGUAAAGCGCACGUAGGCGGAUAUUUAAGUCGGGGGUGAAAUCCCGGGGCUCAACCCCGGAACUGCCUUCGAUACUGGGUAUCUUGAGUUCGGAAGAGGUGAGUGGAAUUGCGAGUGUAGAGGUGAAAUUCGUAGAUAUUCGCAGGAACACCAGUGGCGAAGGCGGCUCACUGGCUCGAUACUGACGCUGAGGUGCGAAAGCGUGGGGAGCAAACAGG